rnacentral:rRNA from 1 species
GACGAACGCUGGCGGCGUGCCUAAUACAUGCAAGUCGAGCGCAGGAAACUGACGGAACUCUUCGGAGGGAAGGCAGCGGAAUGAGCGGCGGACGGGUGAGUAACACGUAAGGAACCUGCCUCAAGGAUUGGGAUAACUCCGAGAAAUCGGAGCUAAUACCGGAUAGUUCAUCGGACCGCAUGGUCCGCUGAUGAAAGGCGCUCCGGCGUCACCUUGAGAUGGCCUUGCGGUGCAUUAGCUAGUUGGUGGGGUAACGGCCCACCAAGGCGACGAUGCAUAGCCGAGCUGAGAGGGUGAUCGGCCACACUGGGACUGAGACACGGCCCAGACUCCUACGGGAGGCAGCAGUAGGGAAUCUUCCACAAUGGACGAAAGUCUGAUGGAGCAACGCCGCGUGAGUGAUGAAGGUUUUCGGAUCGUAAAACUCUGUUGUAAGGGAAGAACACGUACGAGAGGGAAUGCUCGUACCUUGACGGUACCUUACGAGAAAGCCACGGCUAACUACGUGCCAGCCGCCGCAGUAACAC